GACGAACGCUGGCGGCGUGCCUAAUACAUGCAAGUUGAGCGAUGAAGAUUGGUGCUUGCACCAAUUUGAAGAGCAGCGAACGGGUGAGUAACGCGUGGGGAAUCUGCCUUUGAGCGGGGGACAACAUUUGGAAACGAAUGCUAAUACCGCAUAAUAACUUUAAACAUAAGUUUUAAGUUUGAAAGAUGCAAUUGCAUCACUCAAAGAUGAUCCCGCGUUGUAUUAGCUAGUUGGUGAGGUAAAGGCCCACCAAGGCGAUGAUACAUAGCCGACCUGAGAGGGUGAUCGGCCACAUUGGGACUGAGACACGGCCCAAACUCCUACGGGAGGCAGCAGUAGGGAAUCUUCGGCAAUGGACGAAAGUCUGACCGAGCAACGCCGCGUGAGUGAAGAAGGUUUUCGGAUCGUAAAACUCUGUUGGUAGAGAAGAACGUUGGUGAGAGUGGAAAGCUCAUCAAGUGACGGUAACUACCCAGAAAGGGACGGCUAACUACGUG
rnacentral:rRNA from 1 species